rnacentral:rRNA from 1 species
AGAGUUUGAUCAUGGCUCAGGAUGAACGCUGGCGGCGUGCUUAACACAUGCAAGUCGAACGAAGCACUUUAUUUGAUUUCCUUCGGGACUGAUUAUUUUGUGACUGAGUGGCGGACGGGUGAGUAACGCGUGGGUAACCUGCCUUGUACAGGGGGAUAACAGUUGGAAACGGCUGCUAAUACCGCAUAAGCGCACAGCAUCGCAUGAUGCAGUGUGAAAAACUCCGGUGGUAUAAGAUGGACCCGCGUUGGAUUAGCUAGUUGGUGAGGUAACGGCCCACCAAGGCAACGAUCCAUAGCCGACCUGAGAGGGUGACCGGCCACAUUGGGACUGAGACACGGCCCAAACUCCUACGGGAGGCAGCAGUGGGGAAUAUUGCACAAUGGGCGAAAGCCUGAUGCAGCGACGCCGCGUGAGCGAAGAUGUAUUUCGGUAUGUAAAGCUCUAUCAGCAGGGAAGAUAAUGACGGUACCUGACUAAGAAGCACCGGCUAAAUACGUGCCAGCAGCCGCGGUAAUACGUAUGGUGCAAGCGUUAUCCGGAUUUACUGGGUGUAAAGGGAGCGCAGGCGGUGCGGCAAGUCUGAUGUGAAAGCCCGGGGCUCAACCCCGGUACUGCAUUGGAAACUGUCGUACUAGAGUGUCGGAGGGGUAAGCGGAAUUCCUAGUGUAGCGGUGAAAUGCGUAGAUAUUAGGAGGAACACCAGUGGCGAAGGCGGCUUACUGGACGAUAACUGACGCUGAGGCUCGAAAGCGUGGGGAGCAAACAGGAUUAGAUACCCUGGUAGU